CUUGCAUUAGAUGUGAUAGACUUGCAUUAGAUGUGAUAGACUUGCAUUAGAUGACUUGCGUUAGAUGUAGUAGACUUGUGUU